CCCUCCCUGGUUCUUCAUCAAAGGGUUCUGUGGGUGUAUUCCCAUCCUCCUAAUACACCACAGCUGGGAGAUCACAUAGAGCCACACUGGGAAAUUCUGGCCGCCUGAGCAAAGAAGAGGGGAAGGGCUGUGGCUUGGCCUCUGGGAUGCAGGGGGAACACCUUCAAGUUCUUAUGUGGUAUCACUUCUAUGUGGACUCUAAUAAAAAUGAUACAAAAGAACUUAUUUGAAAAAAACAGGAACAAACUUACAAAUUUUAGAACCAAUCUUAUGGUCAGCAUAGGUGAAAUUGUUGGGGAGAGGGAAGAAUUAGAAGGGUGGGAAUAACACACAAACACUACCUUAUAAAAUAGAUGAUUAAUGAGAACUGACUAGAUUGCACGGAAAAUCUACUCAAUAGUUCAUUAUAACCUACGUGGGAAAAAAAGAAUGGAUAUAUUUGUAUGUAUGCCUGAUUCACUUUGCUGUACACCUGCAACUAAUACAAUGUGGUAGGUGAAUGAUAGUUCAAUAAAAUUAAAUUUAAAAAAAGUUAUCACAUGGACUCAAUACAAGGACAGGGCUCUGGUUUGAUUGUGCCCUUAACGCGUUCAGAGCAUACCUACAGGGUGACGGCAGAUAUUUACCAGCCUUGCUAGCUAAGCUCUGGCAGAGAUUCAUGGAGGGGGGGGGGCAAAAAGAAAGAAGGGAGAAAUUUGGUCCACUGUACCCCACGAUGUUUUAUUCUUGUUCUGCCGUGUGGUCAGUGUAGGUCUCUAGGCCAGAUGCUAUUUUCAGGAAGCCUCAUUAAACUGUCAAAAAAAAAAAAAAAAAAAAAAAAAAAAACACCUCCCAAGAGGAAUAACCAGCAUUUCAGUAAACAACAUCUCGCAGUAGUUUUAUUUAUUUCUUUCCUUCUAUUAAAAAAUUCAGGUGAACCCAUAUUUGGAAAAUUUUCUUCUUGCUACAACCCCCAGUUAGUGGUAAUUCCAUGAUAUUAACUAACAGGUAAGAGAUACUAUUUUGAGUUCAACGUAGGUGCUAUCCUUUAGUACACAUUGUUUUAGGCCUGAUUUGAACAUUUUGAUAUUUAGAAUCAGGUGAGGAGAUAAUUUAAAUUCAGCUUCAUUAUUUGGCAUUAUUAAAGGUACAGAGAAUAGAGGUUUUGUGGUUUUUUUAUUUUCAUUUUAUUUUGAUAUAAGAAGGGAAAGAUUGAAUAAACAGAAAUUUACAGAAAAUUUAGAUGAAGGAGUAUAAAGAUGAAUUUGUGUAAAUAAUGAUAACACUGCAUGUAGAUGUAAAAUGUAGAAUAAAUCAGCAACAUGAACAUCUUUUACAUUGGAUGGAGCUUUUGGGAGACACUUAAUGAUUUUCUUGGAUUCUCUGUGAGAAGAUUUUGGUAAGUGCUAAAAAAGAAUUUCGUCCAAAUGGCCCUGAGAUGCUUGAGGGGCUCUAAGAUGAUUUAUUUAUUUAAGAUUUAGGUUAUGUUACAGCUAAUUAUGAACUGGACCAUUUCAGUAUCAUGAGUUUAAUUCAUUUAGAUGAUUAUCUGGUGGGAGAAACAAAUAGAAAGCUGGGAAAUGCUAGGAAAUAAUUGGUUUAAUUUUUUUCUACUUUUCAACAAGUUGAGGUUUUGUUUCUAUGUGACCUUGAUUUCUCUGGAGACCGAAUUAAAAACAUAUGGGAAAAUUCAUCCAGAGAAGCAACACAAACCAAUACUGUGAGAAGAAAUCACAACAUUAGUGAACACAGGAAAGGCAAGGGGUGUCGGGGACUCAAGAACUUGGAUAAAGUAAUUAAAUCUGACUCUAUGUUCUGCUGGAAAGUUCUUCUGCAGGACUCAGUAAAAUUAUAAAAGCAAUACUAGCGGAAAGGACAGUAGAAAAGUAGAUUUAAAAUAGUAAUGCAUAGAGAAUACAGUUAAUUAACUUUCUACAAUGCAUAUAUUUCUCCUUGAUGAGUCGACUAUAUAGGUUUUUUUUUUUUUUAAGUUUAUAUACUAUAGAUGUUGUUUUUUUUUCCCCCCCUUUUUCCACAGAAGGUUUAAUUAGGCUUUAAGCCACAGAAUCCGUUUUGUAAACCUUUCAAAUAAUAAUCAAGGAGUAGAAAGCUGGGAAAUAAGCAAGUUAGUGUGCCAUUUGUUUGAAUUUGCAGAAAGCAAAUGCUUCAAACUCAUGGUCCUGCAUUUUAAACUGCCUACUAAGUAGUGAUGGCUAGGAGGCAUUUAUAUGAUCUGAUCAACGCAAGUGCUUAGUUCCCCUGUGACAAAGUGAUCGAUUAUGCCAGCACCUCUACCUGGUCCCAGCCUCCAUUCCCAGUGGUCCUUGUCUGUUAGGUUCUUCGGCUCUGCGCUAUGUGUGUUCUCAUUAGUUUCCACAACAGUUUGAGAAGAGAAGUAUCAUUAUUAUUCCAAUUUUACAGACAAGGAGAUGGAUGCUCAGGGUGACUGAAAUCAUAUCCAGGAAGUGGAGAGCUGGGUUUUAAAUCUGUGAAGUCUAUUCCAGACUUCACAUUCUAAACCUCAGGCCUUCAUGGUGCAUGCAGCUCCAGACGGAUGUGGGGUUCAAAUGCAGUCUGGUGCUUUGGAGCACAGCAGAUGUUAAUGGCCUGCCAGGGGACCAAACGCAGGACCUUGGCAGGAUUGGCAUGGGGUUAACAAACUAUAACUCCAUAGCAGAAGCAUUUUAUCCUAAAUCCUCUCUUAUGAUUUUUUUUCUUUCAGGACAAGCUAUGAAAAUCCAGAGGAAAAGUCCAUUAAAAUAUACACACGCCUGUCAAUCCUUUUUCUAGAUCAUUCUAAAAACUUCAGUUAAGGUAUAUAUACACAAGUUGGCGAGUGGUAUACUUGAGUUUGUAUGCAUGCAGGAAUGCAUGUGAAUACACCCAAAGACAAACAACCCUGGAAAUAAAAUGUGAACCUCAUCAUGAUGUGUGUUGAUGCAUGCACAUCUAUUUAUGUUUUCACAUAAUUAAUCUCUGUGAGUGUGCGGUGUGUGUAGGUAUGUGUGUAAUGACCAAAGUCUCACUAAUCUUGCAUCCCAGCCAUCCUCCUGGGCUUCCUAAUUACCACUAUCAUCAUGGAAAAGAAUGACAGAAAGACUGGAGACCUUGGGAUGAGAAAUUCACUUUUACACCUUUAAAAUAAAAGCACAGUGUAUCUUUCAUUUUGCAAGCAGAUGUGGGGCAAUCUGAAGCCCUAGUCUCCUUUCGUCUUUAGGGCUUUAAGGGUUUCUGCAUAAAAUUUAAAAUAUCCCCUAGCCCUUGUGGAAUGAAAAAAAAAACCAGCUAUAUAGGUAUUUAUAGCUGAAUCACUUUGCUGUAUACACUGUAAAUCAAUUAUGUUUCAAUGAAAAAAAUAAGUAAAUAAAUAAAAAGGAGGUAUUACUUGCCACCAAUUAGGCACAGUGGUUUUAUUUACUUUUCAAUCAAAUCCAAACAGGAACGCAAAAGUCUGUCAGAAAGAGCUAAUACUGGAGGGGGAGGGGGAGAAAGGGCUGAGAUUUGGGUCUUCCGGAUGCUAUAACUGAAAUGGCGACGGUCAUACAUCAAGGAGAGAAGGGUAAACGCCAUUGUGACUUGUCCCUGAAAAGGAAUUGCUUUCUCAUUGCCAAGGAUUUUUGAAU
rnacentral:lncRNA from 1 species